UUUACUGAGAGUUUGAUCCUGGCUCAGGAUGAACGCUGGCGGCGUGUCUAAGGCAUGCAAGUUGAAUGUGUUUCUUCGGAGACGCAUGGCAAACGGGAGCGUAACACAUUGGUAACCUACCUUGAAGACGAGAAUAACUCCGAGAAAUUGGAGAUAAUACUCGAUGGUCAUGGGGGGACGACAGGUCAUUCCCAUGUAAAGCUCCGACGCUUCAAGAGGGGCCUAUGUCUUAUCAGCUUGUUGGUGAGGUAAAAGCUCACCAAGGCUAUGACGAGUACCGGGUGUGAGAGCAUGGCCCGGCUCACUGGGACUGAGACACUGCCCAGACUCCUACGGGAGGCUGCAGUCAAGAAUAGUCCCCAAUGCACGAAAGUGUGAGGGAGCGACGCCGCGUGGUCGAAGAAGCUCUUCGGAGUGUAAAGACCUUUUAUGAGGGACGAACUAAUGACGGUACCUCAUGAAUAAGGGGCUGCUAAUCUCGUGCCAGCAGCAGCGGUAAUACGAGAGCCCCAAGCGUUAUCCGGAUUUAUUGGGCGUAAAGCGUCUGUAGGCGGUUAUGUUCGUCUUUUGUUAAAUCCCGAAGCUCAACUUCGGGGCCGCAAAAGAUACGGCAUGACUAGAGGUCGGACGAGGCAAGCGGAAUUGCUGGUGUAGGGGUUAAAUCCAUUAAUAUCAGCAAGAACACCAAAAGCGAAGGCAGCUUGCUAGGACGAACCUGACGCUCAGAGACGAAAGCGUGGGUAGCGAAUGGGAUUAGAUACCCCAGUAGUCCACGCCGUAAACGUUGGAUACUAAGUAUUGGCAGUAUCGACCCUGCCAGUGCUGUCCACCUAAGUUAACACCUUAAGUAUCCCGCCUGGGGAGUACGGCCGCAAGGCUAAAACUCAAAGGAAUAGACGGGGACCCGCACAAGCGGUGGAGCAUGUGGUUUAAUUCGAUAAUAAGCGAGGAACCUCACCAGGGUUUGACAUCUGGCUGCAUCCCCUAGAGAUAGGGAGUCUUUCGAAGGUGCCAGACAGGUGCUGCAUGGUUGUCGUCAGCUCGUGUCGUGAGAUGUACCGUUAAGUCGGGAAACGAGCGCAACCCCUAUCCUGUGUUUCAUGUGUCACAGGAAACUGCCCAGCCCCAAGCGCACUUCGCGCGCAAUAAUCAAUUUUCAAUUCUCAAUUUUCAAAAAAUUUUCAAUGAAUUAAUUUUCAAUCAUUGAAAAUUGGAAAUUACAAAUUGUAAAUUAAGCGCGUAACGAAGUGAAGCGCGUUUUGGGCUGGGAGGAAGGAGGGGACGACGUCAAAUCAGCAUGGUUCUUACAUCCUGGGCGACACACGUGCUACAAUGGGAGGUACAACGGGACGCCAAGCCGCGAGGCGGAGCAAAUCCUUUAAAACCUUCCUCAGUUCGAAUUGGAGUCUGCAACUCGACUCCAUGAAGUUGGAAUCGCUAGUAAACGUGCAUCAGCCAUGGCGCGUUGAAUACGUUCUCGGGUCUUGUACUCACCGCCCGUCAUACCAAGAGAGUCGGUAGUACCCGAACCCCGCAUUUGCGGGGGAAGGUAAGAUCGAUAAUAAGGGUAAAGUCGUAACAAGGCAUCCGUAGCGGAAGCUGUGGAUGGAUCACCUCCUUU
rnacentral:rRNA from 1 species